rnacentral:sRNA from 1 species
UUUUAGCCCCGAUGGCAAUGAAAAUCCUUUUUAUUUUUUCUUUAAAAAUAAAAAGAUUACUUCACUCAACUUUCAUUUUAAGCGGAGUUCAGUGAACUUCGUUUGUAAUGAACAGCGGGACCAAUG